AAAAAAUAUGUUAACGUACUUGACUAGAUUAUAUAAGUAUAAAUUCAAAUAAAAUUAAAUAGUGAAGAUGGAGAUUAAAAAAAAAGUUGACAAUACAAUCAUUCAUCAGAAGACAAUGGAACUCAAAUUUGGUGGGAAACUUAUUUUUUAAGGGGUUAUAUCCACUUAUGGUGCUGGAAUAGAUGACACGAUAUAAUUUGGACCAGAAAUAUCUUGCUCACCGCCAAGCACCUUUUUUUGGAGGUCUCUCCGCAGAUCAUCUACAGGAGCUAGGGGAUCCAAUAUUUUUUUAAAUAAACCGCUGAUUGUUAAAGUACAUUAAAUUCUGUUUAAGUACAUUUUUUCCAUUAAUGUAUAAAAUAAAAUGCCUCUUUGAAAAAA